rnacentral:piRNA from 1 species
UUUCAUUGUUUUACAUUUUUC